CAGGCGCUGCGCUAAGAAUCAAGAUGCUGAGACGGAGGAGGCUGGGGCUGAGCCCCACUUGCCAUGGCGGCUUUCAUCAAAGCGAGCAGCCCACACCUCCGCCCGCCCGGGUGACGCCGCAGGGUGGAGCGGUUCGAAGGCCCGGACUCCUCGGCCCCGCUCCACCACUAACCGCGCGCCCCUGGGCACGUAGCGUAGGCGCUCCCGUGGAACGGCGAUCACAGCUCGGGGUCCCAGGGUUGUGGCGAGAACGGAAUUUACGGGCGCUAUCGUGAUGUCUGCGGCGCUCGGCGGGAAGCGGGUCUGGAGUCUACGGGACCCCCGAGGGGCGUGCGACCGCGGACAAGCCGCUCCUCUUCCGGACUUCGGUUUCCCGCCUCAGAAAGAAAAUGGGAAGACGGGUCUACACCCGCCCUUCCAGCUCCGCACUCGGCGGCGCCCGGCGGGGCAGCGACCCUUCCCGGUGGGGAAACUCCCACCGCCCCACAGGGUGGGGUAGGGGCGGGGCGGGGGUGGGGCCUGGCGGGGGUCGGUCCGGCCGCCCCACCUGCCGCCGCUCACCUCUAGGCUGUAGUUGCCCCGGAUGGCGGUGAAGUCGUCCAGGGCUUCGGCCGCGCUCCCCUCGUCCAGGUUCAGCUCCUGGCACAGGGCCUGCAGCGCCUCCCCGGCCGCGGCGACCACCGCUGCCCCCUCAGCGUGGGGCUCGUCCUCGAACAUCCCCUCAGGCCGCGGUCACAGCCCCCAGGCUCCUUUCUCCCUCCUGGGCGCGCUACCCACAACCACCCGCGCCAAAGCGCGCGAAAGUCGGUGGCUUCAGAACGACGUCUCUCCGAUGGUCUGCAUCCGCGGUUCUCCUCAAAAAAGUCCGUUUCUCCUCCAGGGCACUCAGUGAUCUCUCUCUGGAACUGUGAUUAGAAAGUGGACCUCGGUUCCAGAAAAAAACCUGGGCUUGGUCCUUGGCGGGCAGCGGUGGGCACAGCCAGCGGAGUAAGUUGGUGCGGAAGGAUCGGCAGCCGCGCGCAGAGUCUGCUGGGAAUUGUAGUCCAUAUCCUGCCUUGACGCCCGCGGCGCCACCCUGGUCUCGCCAGGUCUUUGGUUUGGGCCCGGCUGCCUACUGCGAGGUGUCCUCGGUCAUCUUAGGGAGAAGCCUCCUUUGUACCACUAACCCACGGGACUGCGUUUGUCACUGCCCCGCCAAACAGUCUGACUGAGACUUGCCCCUUGAGUUAGGAGACGCAGGCAGGAACAGAAAAAAGUGUUUCUGAGACAGCGGGAGGCCUCAGGACUCUGUCCCCUGCGCCCAGUGGGUGGUCUGUGGAAUGAUUGUAGGGUUGGUGAGGCAAACCAGGCUUGACCUGGGCUGAAAGCUCUGCAGUAAUCGGCUCCCAGGAGCCUGGGAACCAUCCUGGGAAAGACCGUCAUUCCAGGCUUGGGAAUGGCCUGAGCAUAAGCUUGAAGGCAUGGAACUGGUCUCCAAACCUACCCUGCUCCACCGAAACCCCUUCUCCAGGAAGAGCCAGAGUGAUCCAGAGCACGUCACCCCUUCAUUCAAAAUCUUUCAGUAGAUUCCUCUUGCCCUUAAAAUAGUAUCCAAACUCCUUUUGAUGGCCCACAGGGCCUCUGUGAUCUGGCCUCACCUCCUUGCCCCCACCCAAGUGUAUAUAAUAAGGUGCAGCUUCACUGCUUUGUUUUGGAACCUUGAAAAUGCCAAGCUGCCAAGCUAGUUCUUGCCUCAAGGCCUUUCUCACAUGCUGAUCAAACGGACCCAAAUACUCUAUACCAACCAGGUCUUUGCUUAUCUGGCUUCUCCUUGUCAUUAAGUUCAAAUAAAUGUUACCUUCUCAGGCCCUUCCUGAGCACUAAAGUAGCUGACCCACCCCCCACAACACCCUAUUUCAUUGUCUUCAUAACCCCAUAUCACUAUCUGAAAUUAUCUUGUUUAUUCACUGGCUCUUCCUACUAAAAUGAGAGUUGCAAGAGAGCAGGGACCUUUUUUCCUGUUCACUGUAUUAGAAGUUUAGAUUAGUGCCUGGCUCAUAGUUGGCACUCAGUACUUAACAAAGUAUGUUUGAAAAGUUACAAAGAGCCCACUGAUGCUUGGAUGAGGGAAGGAGUCACCAGAGAUGAAAAUGAAGACAGGUCAAGGUAGGUUGCAAAGGACCUCCUAUACUUCACUAAAAGCCUAGACAUUAUCAGUGGGGGUUUUAAUGAAAGGAAAUGAUGAAUGAGCAAUAAUGUUCUGGGACGGUCCCUCUGGCUACAGUGGGACACAUAGAUUGGAUGAGGUAGAGACUAGAGGUAUAGAGAUGGUAGGGGCUGCUCCAGCAUUGAAAGGAGCCAGUCUGGAGGGGGGUCUCUUAGAACUGAAUGGGGCACUGCUAGAGAGGGAAGAGUCCCCAACAACAGAAGUUUUCAUCUAGGUCAAGAGGGUGAAAGGUGAUGCUGUUAACUAGAAUGGGAGUAGAAGCAGAAGGAUGAGAUCAGUUCCAGAGCGUUGUGUUUGGGAUGCCUGCAGGAAGUUUAAGAGGAGUCUGUUGGAUCCUGGAAGGUAGCCCCUCUCUCCUCUCUCCUGGCAAUUUCCCAGUCUUCUACAUUGUCCACACUUGGAGAGGGGUGGGACUUGGGGAACCAGGUGCAAGCUGGGUCUCAAAUGAGUAAAGACUCAAACUCCUCUCACCCUCCAAAUUCAAAAUCAAACUGAAACACCCAUGUGGCACUUCCAACUCUUCUUCCUUCUAGAAGCUACUACUGCAGUUGACUUUAGGACCAUCUCAUUAUUUUCUGGGGAGAUGUUGGCACAUAGUGUCUGCACAGAGACUCUCCUCCCAUUAGUUUUUAUUAGAGGAUUGGUAUGGGUAGUUGAGGGGAGGUCUAUCUCCCAUGCCAAGGGGUCUGUAACAGGGUUUAUCAUCCUUCCUCCUUUUUUCCCUGUCAGCAAAGAAAGGUCAGGAUUAGUGGAGAUAACAUGGGUGAAAUCCCUCUUGUAUUGGCUCAUUUGUUUUCUAAUUAACCUGUGCUUAUUUGAGAGGAGUAGGGACAAUCUGGACAUGAGGAUUUGGGAAUAUUCAGGCAAUACCUGAGGCUAAGGGAGCAGGUAGGGAGUGUGUUGGCAUAAGAAGAGACUCAAGGGGAGAACCUUUAGAAACACCUACAUUUCAGAGAUGGGCAGAAUUUGAGGAAUGAAUGAGUUAAACUGUCCACACAGGUAUAAAAAUAAAGGAGUGGUAUCUCAGAGUCUGGGAAAGAAGUACUCCAUGGAGCCCAACACUGCAGAGAAUUCAAAUAAAAUUCAAACAAGACCUCAUAUAUUAUCAUUCAUAUGUUGUUAGUGACAUUUGCCAGAGCAGUUUUCUGUAGCAUGGUGGGAACGAAAGCCAGAUUACUGUGGCUGAGGCGUUAAUGGGAGGAAGGUCAGAAAGUUGGAAGUAAGAAGUAAAAGCUUCUAAGAAGUUUGGUGGUGGAGAGGAAAAAGGAAUUUUCUAGCAUAGGGGAAACACAGGUAUGUGAAUAAUCAGGGACAGGAGCAGGUGGAGAGAGACUGAAGAUAAAGAGAUUAUUGAUUUAGCCAGGCCCUGGAAAAGGUGGCCAAGCCAGGAAUCCAGAGCCUGGCCUUCCUCUUGGUAGCUCCUGUCUGGAAGGUUAUCAUCACCUUACAUCUAGAUUAAACAGAACUGCUAGGUGCUCUGCUGAGUGCAAAAUAGAGUAACAUGCAGUAGGGAGUUGAGAGUGGUAAAGAUUUAGAACAACCGUUGAGAAAUAUCACUUGGAAAAAAAAAAAGAAAUAUCACCUGGUCUGUCAAAUGCAAACGUUAUGGUCGGAAUUUUUGGGGAGAAAUAGAGUAAAACUAAGUCUGCCCCAUGAGAUUCUGGCUUUCAUAGCUGGAACUGGACAAGAUCACAAGAGUUGAGAAGCCUCAAAUUUUUUGCCUCUGCCAUAACUAACCAAUUUCUUUUUUUUAUCCAGAUAGUGAACUGCAGAGGGUGAUUCUGACCUUGAAACGAAACCAAGAUAAAAGGAAAGAGCUCUCAGGAAUUAUAAACCAAACCAAACCAGAGACUCACUGCCCCAUUUUUUAUUUCUAUAGUGGUUUGGCUUUCAGUGAGUUGCAGUAUAUGGACUCUAGCCCAUUUCUUCUUUGCUACUGGAUUUGAUUCUCCUGAUUCUUUUCACACUUCAUGCGUACUGAGUCCUGAAAAUCCUUCAUUUCUUCAUUCCACAAAUGUUUACUGAAUGCCUGCUAUGUGCAAGAUACUGAUUCUUCCUAUGCUGUCAUUUUCAGAUCACCCAGACUUGAACUGAGGGGUACUGCUGGCUUAAAAAUGAUCCAAGAACAAAAGAAGCCCCUCUCAAAUGUCAUCCAGCAAACAAAAACUGAGAAACAUUAUACAUUUUCCUUCUCUUCAGGACUGGAUCUAGGCUCUAACUUUGGAUUUUCAAUUUUUUUAAUUUAUUUGACAGAGAGAGAUACAGCAAGAGAGGGAACACAAGCAGCGGGAGUGGGAGAGGGAGAAGCAGGCUUCCCGCGGAGCAGAGAGCCCGAUGCAGGGCUCAAUCCCAGGACCCUGGGAUCAUGACCUGAGCCGAAGGCAGACGCUUAACAACUGAGCCACCCAGGCGCCCCUAUGAAUGACAUUCUUAAAUAAAGUUGUCAUCCACCUCUGGAAAAAAAAGUCUCUGCUCCCCCUUAAUCCCAGGAAGGAUGGAAAACUGAACAUUGUUAGCUAAAAACCACCCCAGAUACUAGCCCUAAGCAGAAGAUUCUGGUGGAAAAGUCAAACCUGUAUAAGAAAGAUGUAUGUAACACUCAAAGACAGCAAUAGCAAACAGUCUUGGUGAGAUUAUUUCUGUUGCUUUUUUCCUCAUUUCAAUUUCCUCAU